AAUGCAAUAAAUAAUGCAAAUGUACAUAACUAAAUGUCAGAGGUAGUAGCAAAGAUAUGUAUUUUUUAACUUUCACGUUUCUUGGAGCUCUAACUGAAUUAUCACAAUCGCGUUUCUAGUAGUGUUGUCAGUCACGAUACUGGAUUUCCUAACUUCGAAACUAUACCUGGAAAAAAAAAAAAAUAGAUAUAUAUUCUAUACCAAUUUCGAUAUCAGGGGAAAAGUUUUUUUCAGGAAAAAACAUACCCAAUGUAAAUGGAGUAUAUCUCCACAACUGAGAGGGCGAUAAUGUCAUCUUUGUGCCAAAAGAAAGAUUGUUGUGCAAGUGAAAUAUUAUUCAAUGGGGAUAAUACUUGGUUAAAGUGAAUAAAGCCAUGGAACACAGCGUAAGUGCACUGUAAAAAAUGAUUUUUUGGCCCUGUAAUUAUUAUUUCAAUUAUGUAUGUAAAUUCUACAAAGAAAUCCGAAUUCAGUGCUUUUACUUUAAAAUACCAGUUUUAAUGUAGUGUAGUUACUUGGUGAUUGUUUGUAAUUAUGUCUACUCAGUUUUGUAUGUAAAUUAAAUCAUUCGAUCCAAGUAAUAUUCACUAAACCAGUUCAUUGGCCUAAUUAGUUGAUAUUUCCAAGUAAAAUGUACUUGAGUGAUAUCAGUGAACCUGGCAACUUUCACGAACAUUCGGAGCAUGACGUCAAAGCCCCUCCCCACAUUUGAACGGUCUUUCGUCCGAGACGUGCUGUACUCCAGUGACAGUCCAAGUUCCACAUUUCAACUGGGUUGGCAGACUUUGUUGAAUGAGAUGGGGAAGAUGAACGUGAAUGAACCACGAAGCAUCAUGUCGACGGCAGAAGGGACAUUAUCAUCCGUUGCUUAGUUGAGUAUCUUGGAGAGAGUGGAGAGGAGCUGAUCAAAGACUAUCAGGACGUCAGCCAAGAAGCAGUGAAAGAGGACUGCAGUAAUCACAUGAUGCAGGGCAACGUCAUCCAUCCCAAUGUGGCACAGGAAAUCCAAGAUCCUGUGUAUGUGUCAGUCAUCAUCAAGUGUGACAAACGCUUGCCUCCUGCUCAUGGGUGUCAUCUAUGCUGUAAACUUAAGUUACCCACUUAAACUGAAAUAUACGUUUGAAGUAUUUCAGAAGCCGUUUCUUGAGCUUGACGUCAUUACAAUGUCACCAAAGCUCCAGUUUCUCCACGAUAAACUUUUAGCGUGAGCGUUCCAGUGCUAUUUGUGCUUUUGUCCAGCACAAACAAUCUCUUUACUUUUGUCAUUUUUCUGACUGAAAUUUCAAGUUUUGCUUAGUUUUUAAGUUAUUUCUGUCAUGAACAUCCUGAGAAUGUCUGCAAAGGUAGCCAUUGCAGUUUAUGUAUGCAUUCUUUGCUGUUCUGAAAAGUCAACUGUAACACUGUAUUCGUUUGUAUGCUGGAAUAUCAGUCCUAAAGUCAGUUGGUGCUUUGCCAUUCCGCAUUGAAUUUUUCAAAUCCUAAACGGCUUUACUUUUGAGCUUUUGUGUGUGUGUGUGUGUGUGUGUGUACACUGUUUUCAAAUUUGCUAGCAGGAAGUUCUAUGUGGUUAUGUUAUGUAUUUUAAAUACAUCCAUGCCAUUUCAAAUGUGAAAUAAAAGUGUAUUUCAAACAUCC